rnacentral:rRNA from 1 species
UCGCCUGUUUUUCAAAAACAUCGUCGGUACUAUUAUUACCGAUAAAAUCUGCCCAGUGAUUUAUUUAACGGCCGCAGUACCCUGACUGUGCUAAGGUAGCAUAAUCAUUAGUUUUUUAAUUGAAAACUCGUAUGAAUGAUUCGACGAGAAAUUUUCUGUCUCUAAAGUACCCCAACUUACUUCAAAAGUUAAAAAGCUUUUAAAAUUCAAGAGGACGACAAGACCCUAUAAAACUUUACCUUACCUCAAAACUUUCCCUUAGAAUACUUAAAAAUUUGAGAAAAGGUUAUGCUGGGGCGGCAAACUUUAAUUUAAACAAACUUUACACUAACAUAAUGUAUGAAAUUAACAAACACCUCACGUAAUAAAGAACAAGUUACUUUAGGGAUAACAGCGCAAUAUCUUUUUAGAGCCCUUAUCGGCAAAGAUGUUUACGACCUCGAUGUUGAAUUGAAUUGACCUACACGGAGCAACCCUCGUGCAAGGAAGUCUGUUCGACUUUUAAUUCUUUACAUGAUUUGAGUCCAAACCGGA